rnacentral:rRNA from 1 species
GUCCAGACUCCUACGGGAGGCAGCAGUGGGGAAUAUUGCACAAUGGGGGAAACCCUGAUGCAGCGACGCCGCGUGAGUGAAGAAGUACUUCGUUAUGUAAAGCUCUAUCAGCAGGGAAGAAAAUGACGGUACCUGAGUAAGAAGCCCCGGCUAACUACGUGCCAGCAGCCGCGGUAAUACGUAUGGUGCAAGCGUUAUCCGGAAUGACUGGGUGUAAAGGGAGCGUAGACGGUUGUACAAGUCUGAUGUGAAAGCCCACGGCUCAACUGUGGGAGUGCAUUGGAAACUGUAGAACUAGAGUAUCGGAGAGGCAAGUGGAAUUCCUAGUGUAGCGGUGAAAUGCGUAGAUAUUAGGAGGAACACCAGUGGCGAAGGCGGCUUGCUGGACGAAAACUGACGUCGAGGCUCGAAAGCGUGGGGAGCAAACAGGAUUAGAUACCCCUGUA